GUUGGGGUUUGGAGCGGGGAGGGGGGAAGCGCCGCCGCUCGCUCGGGGCCUCGGGGCCGCCGGCGUGGAGGCGAGAAGGGGGUAUCUCUCACUCUCCCCUCCACUCACGGGUGUCCUCGCCCCCCUCGGCGCUGCCGACGACUCCCCACCCCCUUCUCGUCACUGACCCCCACGGAGUCUGCAAACCACCCCCCCACCCCACUCCUCCUCGCCCGCCCCCCAAACACACACACACCCCUUUCCCUUCCUCGGAAGGGGAAACACCCUCAAGAGGUGGAGAGAUUUGGGGGGAGGCGGGGGGAGUCCUUUUCGGAAGAGUCAUCCCGGCUGCACCGCCUCCCGGCUUGUUUGUGUGGGGCUCCCCCGCGCCAGGCUGAGGAGGAGCCUAAGCCUGGAGCAGGUUGAAGGAAGGAGGGAGAGAUGGGGUUGGGGGGGCACCCGAGCCAUCGCGCCCAGAGCCUUGGCUGCCCUGGGAGGCUUUGCCACGUCGGGGAGAAGACGACCCGGGACAGGCAAGAAUGCUUUUCCUCCCCCCUUCCAGAGGAAAUAGGGUGGGAGCGAGGUCUUCCUGCCCCCACCACACCCCGGGAGAGAUGCUGUUCACGGCCAGCCGGGAAUCCCAGUCCUAUAAUUGUCACCAGAGUUGCGCAUCCUUGGGGGGGGAAGGAUGCGGAAUGAGGCUUUGAAAAGGCAAUGUGAUUGCUCCCACGGCUGCAAAGGGAAAUGAAUGUUCCUGACCGCGGAGCAGGCCAAACUUGAACUAUAUUCGGGUUAACUUGAUCGGAAGUGACAUCUGAAAGAAUCAUAAGGCUUGACUACUCGAUCACCAGGGGGUUACUGUAGGUUGGUUUUAAAUCAUUUUUUACUUAUCUCGGCACGCAUGAAAACUGUAAACACAGCUUUAUGAGCGUUGUCCCGCAUGUAUGUCUCCUGUGCGUACCCAUGGCGGAAGGGAUAAUUCAGAUUAAUUUCCUCACUUUAAAAACGCAGACCUAUGAACAAGCUGCUAAAUAGAACGAGUUGUACUUUAUUCCCUUACCUCUUGGUGGAGAUGCGACUAGCAACCGGAAAUGCAGAAGAUGGAAAAGUCAUCUAUAAAGUGAAUAACAUAACCUUAAAUAAUCACCUUGAUUACUCGUCUAAAAAAAAAAAGUUGGGAUUAUAACGAACUCCAAAAGUAUGAGAUCUUCAGUUGUAUGUGUUAGAAGAAUGACAAAGUAGCUUAGAGGGAAACAAUGGUAAUUACAUGGUAGCUUCUAGUUUUAUUAGACUACAAUAGGAGGAAUGUGUACUGCUUCUGGGGCUAAAGAGGGUCUGUGGAGAGGCAAGCUGUGUGGGUGGUAGUUUCUUUUUGUCUAAAUAUGGAAGGUCAAAUAGUUGCUACAGCUUCCUGUUGAGGAACCUUAGUUUUUAAAUGAAUGGUGAUAGUUUUAAAAAGUUUGCUGUACAUUUGUUGUUCCUUGCUCAGUGUUACAGUAUUAUCGUUUCUCAACUGGAAUUGUAAAUCAGUUUUUUAAUACUUUGUUGGGGGUGGAGAAGAGUUGAUAAAAAUAUUUCCUUUGUUUAAAAUGUGGUAGUGCCCCCCAAAAAAAUAUUCUAGAGUGGUUAUUUCAUUGCAGAAGCUGUUGUGUGGAAUAAAAAAUUGUCAAUCAUUA